AUGUCUAACAGCACUAUAUUUUCUCAAUAUGAAGUAGCUAAUAUCACAUCUUUUGAGUUUUAUACAUACAAAUUUUGUCAUUUUUAUUCCGUUAUAACGGCGAGACACACUGCGAAUGUAAAAGAGAACGAAAACCAAUUUCCCGCCCACAAGAAUCUGUAACUAGCGCCCCCCGAAAUCGGUUAAACCCUAGAAGAGAUCGCGAAGAAGGCAAGCUCGCAUCGAAUCCAAUCCAUGGCGGCGCACGACCCCAAGGACGACGUCGACCGCCUCUUCGCCUGCUUCAAGUGCGGCGUCUCCCCUCCCCAGUCGGCGUUCAGGGAGAGGCCGCGGCGGGCGGGCAAGAGGUCGCGGGUAGCGUCCACGGCGGAUGGAGGCGGCGGCGGCGGCGGCGGGAGCUCCUCCUCUUCUACUCCUACGCCGGACGCGGCGGAGAAGCAUGAGGCGCCGUCGUCGGCGGUGAUCAAAUUUACUGGCCGCAAGCAGAUGUCCCCGGUUGUGUUCUACGGUUCCCCGCAAGGUGUCCCGGUGAAGAAGCCGCUCAGCCUGUUGCGGUUGUUGCGGGAGAUCCGAAUUGAUCUCAAGAAGCAAACUGAUUUGGUCCCCAGUGCCGGUGUUUGGGCAACCUUCCCUAGGCAAGAGGAGGCAAUCAGGUUCUGUAAAGCACAUGCUUAUACCAAUGUCUUUAGCUACCAAGAUCAUUUAAGUGGGCAGAGAAGAUUCCUCGUGUCUACAUACGAUGAGUUCUGGAAAAGGUACAAUAAUAUGGAUCCGCAGAUUCGCCAUCACUAUGAAGUUAUACAGGAUGGUUCACCUUGCCAUAUUUACUUUGAUCUUGAGUUUGACCCAAGAUUGAACAAGAUGAGAGAUGCAGAUGAAAUGGUGGAUAUAUUGGUUGCAGCCACAUUCAGUGCUUUGCAUGAUAAAUAUUCCAUUGAAGGACAGGAGGAAUGGAUAAUAGAGUUAGACUCGUCUACUGAAGAAAAGUUCUCACGCCAUUUGAUCAUCCGCAUACCGAAGACUGCAUUCAAGGACAACUCCCAUGUUGGUGCAUUUAUCUCUGAGAUCUGCUCACGGAUCGCAUCUCAGCGUGCAGCUAAUCCUAACUUUGAUAAACUGUACAUUACGAAAGAUAGCAGUUGUACAGGUCAUGCUGAUCAUCUCUUUAUGGAUAUUGCUGUUUACUCCCGGAAUCGUUGUUUUCGUUUAGCCUUCUCAUCGAAGUCUGGGAAGAAGUCAUUUCUUGUGGCUACUGAGCGUUUCAAACAUAAAAACAUGAGUGAUAAGGAGCUCUUUAUGGAGUCACUUAUUUGCAGAUUAGAUGAUGACUGUCAUAAACUUUUGACAUGCAAACUUGAUUUAGAUUGCAAGAAAACAUUGCAUUUUGACUCGGAAGCCAGCAUGAUACGAAUUCAAGGAAGAAACAGCAAGGACUCCAUUGGUACCUAUCGAAAUGAUUUUCCUGUUUCAAAUACUUAUGGGAUAUCUCCUUUUCCAGCUCUGGAUGUCUUUAUUGAAUCUAUAGCUUCUUUUGGAAAUGUCUCAGGAAAAAUUAGAUGCUGGUACUGGUUUUCACAUUAUGGUUUGAUGAUUUAUAGUAUGUCAAGGAGUAGAUACUGUGAGCAUAUUGGAAGAGAACAUAAAAGCAAUCAUGUAAUGUAUAUUGUUGAAUUCCAGAGAGCUGCAUAUUACCAAAAGUGUUAUGACCCUGACUGCCAAGGUUACCGUUCUCCAUUGCGCCCUGUUCCCUGGGACGUGAUUCCUGAGCUCAGCUCGAUAUCCGAUUCAGCCCAGAGGGAAUAUCAGGGGGAAGUUGUAGAGAUCAACAUUGAGGGGAGGAACAGGAAUGAUGAGUACCUUUGCAAUGGGACGAAAUCAGUUACAGAGAGCGGUGAGGAUGAUCCGAGCUGGUGGGAAGAAGCGGUGAAAUUUGCUGACAGCAUCGAGAACACCGAUCAUGGUCCUGACACACGUGACCAAGUUGGACAAGGAUUGUGAUGACGCAGACUGGUGGAUGGAUGCUGAAAGGAUUAUGGUGCAGAUUGAGGAACAGAUAGGGUCACAGAGCAACGCAUAGCCGUCCCUUCAGGUACGCGUCCCUGAACACGUUUGUGUUAUAGUGUAGCUGCCCAGAAGAAAACACGAUGUACAUAAAGGCAAUCAUGAUGCAUAUUUGUACUCCUAAUCCUGUGGUGGUGCCUUCCAUGUUUACUGGAUAUAGAAAUUAUAAGAAAUUUCUGACCCUCUAGCAGUGGAGGCAACAACCUGCAGAUGUACUGUUCUUCUAGUCUGCUAGGAUAUGGCCAAGCUAUGAAUAUAGCUGUGGCGGACAGCCAUACUGUUGUUUAAGUUCUAGGCUUCUAGCAAAAAGCUAGAGUGCUACUCUCCCCGUCCCAAAAUAUAUAUACGGGGUAUAUAUAGUAUAAAUUUGAACUACAAAAUUAGCUAUAUUUUUAAGGACGGAGGGAGUAUUAGGAUGGUUUUCUCUGAAUUUUCAGUUUGCUCGUCAAGAAUCAAGAUGCGAGCUGAAUGAGGCGGGUCGACCGUCUCGAGCCGUAGAAGUGUCGAUCUUUUUGCCCCCAAAUUCUCCAUUCCACACUUGCGAUCUGAUAUGUAACCGCCUGAUGGUAGUAGGAAUAAAAGCUGUCGUCUUCGCAUAAAAAAUAAUCUUAAUCCUCUAGGUAAAGCAAUAAAUCUGAUCAAUCCGGUGAAUAGCUGAGCUGUCCAAAUUGAAGGGUCACGCCCAGCAGUUAAUUUUGAGGGACCCAAACUUUUAGCAGUUCUCUCGAACUCUUGAUGAGGUCGAUCCCGAUGAACUGACUGGUUUAUUACUGGUGGUUACUUCGUACUCCAUUACACUGGGGAACUUAUCCAUGACCAAAUUCUUGGGCAAACUUUUUAUUUAGACAAAAGGCAAGAUGCCCUGCUUUUGAUUGAAAGCAAAGUUUGUGGCUGGGGAGACCAGCGUUCAUUUUAGCACAGUUCACAGAGACAGACACAGCAACCAACUCACAUAAGUUCAUUUUGGGACAGUGACUGGCUAAUCAAAACUCAACUCACUAACAGAAGAGCAAAAGGAAAUGGAAAACACAUCAGGCCAGCGAUGACUUCAACGCUCACUUUGUGGAUGCAUCCGGCCUGCCGCUUCAAGCAACCAGGAUAUUACGCACUCCAGCUUCAGGGCCUUCUUUUGCUUCAUUAGAAUCCUCCACUGUUAUAACAAGGAAACAAGUCCAUAAAUCACAGUUAGAGGGGUCGAAACAUUCUUAUCUCUAAUCAAUUUAGUUAUCUUAGCUCUUUCAGGGAAUCUUCUCUAGAGCCCUACCUGGAGUACUAGGAUCUUUCCUUAUUCCUCCCAGAGACUGAUCAUGUCAUUCCAGAGGGACAGGGGAAAGCCAAAGCAUAGUUAGGCUAUUGGAGCUUGGCUGGCGCGAAACAUAUUGCGAGAUUAUUACCAUGAGGAAUAGAAAGGUGGUCUGGCGUGCAAGCUUGUUUGUAGUUAGAAUUGUACAGUUUUUUUUUUCCUUUUCUAUGUAAUUUAACUCCUAUCAAUGUAACGUCAUCCAAUCUGUUUGGUCGUUCGGGAAAAAAAAAGCCAAAGAUUCUUAGCAUGAUAUUGGGGAAUCUCCUUGCUAUUACUCAAACAAGCAUGAAACGUAUGCUUGCAUAUUCGUCCAUAGGGCAAAUCGGAUAUGUAAUUAUUGGAAUAAUUGUUGGAGACUCAAAUGAUGGAUAUGCAAGCAUGAUAACUUAUAUGCUUUUCUAUAUCUCCAUGAAUCUAGGAACUUUUGCUUGCAUUGUAUUAUUUGGUCUACGUACCGGAACUGAUAACAUUCGAGAUUAUGCAGGAUUAUACACGAAAGAUCCUUUUUUGGCUCUCUCUUUAGCCCUAUGUCUCUUAUCCCUAGGAGGCCUUCCUCCACUAGCAGGUUUCUUCGGAAAACUCUAUCUAUUCUGGUGUGGAUGGCAAGCAGGCCUAUAUUUCUUGGUUUCAAUAGGACUCCUUACGAGCGUUCUUUCUAUCUACUAUUAUCUAAAAAUAGUCAAGUUAUUAAUGACUGGACGAAACCAAGAAAUAACCCCUUAUGUGCGAAAUUAUAGAAGAUCCCCUUUAAGA